GAUAAACGCUGGCGGCGCACAUAAGACAUGCAAGUCGAACGAACUUAACUCAUUCUUUAGUUUGAGAGCGGUUAGUGGCGGACUGGUGAGUAACACGUAAGCAACCUGCCUAUUAGAGGGGAAUAACAGUGAGAAAUCAUUGCUAAUACCGCAUAUGCUAACAGUAUCGCAUGAUACAGUUAGGAAAGGAGUAAUCCGCUAAUAGAUGGGCUUGCGUCUGAUUAGAUAGUUGGUGGGGUAACGGCCUACCAAGUCGACGAUCAGUAGCCGGACUGAGAGGUUGAACGGCCACAUUGGGACUGAGAUACGGCCCAGACUCCUACGGGAGGCAGCAGUGGGGAAUAUUGGGCAAUGGGGGAAACCCUGACCCAGCAACGCCGCGUGAAGGAAGAAGGCCUUCGGGUUGUAAACUUCUUUUACCAGGGACGAAGAACGUGACGGUACCUGGAGAAAAAGCAACGGCUAACUACGUG
rnacentral:rRNA from 1 species